AAAACAAAAGGAUGAAGAAAGCUGAGCUAGUGUUGAUCCCUUCAUCCGGCGUCGGCCACGUUGUAACGAUGGCGGAGAUGGCAAAGCUCCUGGUCCACUGUGACCACCGCCUCUCCAUCACCGUCCUCGUCAUGCAGCUCCCCUUCGACACGAAAGUCCCCGUCUACCUUCAUUCACUCUCUCUCCCCACUCAACCCGAACUUCAAAAUCAUUCAACUCCCAGAAGUCAAUCUUUCCCCUUCAAAAUAUCUUCUCGCAUAAGCUUCAUGGAUUCGUUCGUCAAAAGCCAUUAACACCUCGUCAAAGAAGCAGUCACUAAGCUAAUUCAGACGGAGUCAGUCUCUGGUGACUCACCUCGACUCGCCGGGUUCGUUCUCGAUAUGUUCUGUGCGGACAUGAUUGAAGUUGCGAAUGAUUUUGGAGUUCCUAGCUGCAUUUUCUACACCUCCAGUGCAGCUUUUCUUAGUAUGCAGUUACACUUGCAAGUUCUUUGUGAUGAGCAAAACCAGCCCAUCACUGAGUUGAAAGACUCGGUCACUGAGUAAUUUGUCCCGAGUCUCGUUUAGCCGUUGACUACUGCUAUGUUUCAACAAGCAAGGGGGUUUAGAGAAGAGAGGGCAUUAUUGUAAAUACAUUCAAGCAGUUGGAAUCCUAUGCGGUCGAGUCUAUCUCAGAUGGUAAGUUGAACAACACCCCACCUGUGUAUACACCGGGACCCAUUUUGAAUUUAGAGGGUGAUGAGAGUGAUCGAGGAUCAGGUGGAUCCAUCUCAAUAACAAAGAUCAAGGAGUGGCUUGAUGAUCAACCGCCAUCAUCGAUUGUGUUUCUUUGCCCCGGGAGCAUGGGAAGCUUCAGUGAGGACCAGGCGAAAGAUAUCGCUUGUGCGCUUGAACAUUGCGGCCAUCGGUUUUUGUGGUCCCUGUGUCAACCUCCACCGAAGGGUCAAGUUGGUAAUCCUACUGAUUAUGCUAAUCUGACGGACGUGCUACCUGAAGGGUUCAUUGAUCGGACGAAUAAGAGAAUAACAAAUGUUACAUGGAUUGCGGAACUCAGAAAGACCAUGUUUAUUGUAUAGCACAUCAUCAUCUAUAACCAAGUGGCAUGAUCGUAGAGUUGCCAGGUAUGCGGCAAACAGGUAGAAAGCUUGGAUCUUGAUUCAUCUUCCAUUUUAUCUGUCCGACUCAAUAUACAGAACUUUUCAGACAAGACCCAGUUCCUGAACACGCACAAGAACAGCAUCCGUGCGGUUGUCGGGAAUGCCGCGGCCGGCGCUGAGGCUGAACUGAUAGAAGCUUUGCCAAAGCUUGAGAUCGCGGCGAGUUUCAGCGUGGGGCUUGACAAAGUUGACUUGGGGAAGUGUAAAGAGAAGGGAAUAAGAGUCACAAACACUCCUGAUGUGUUGACUGAUGACGUGGCGGAUUUGGCAAUUGGGUUGACUUUGGUUGUGUUGAGGAGGUUGUGUGAGAGUGAUCGGUAUUUGAGGAGUGGCAAGUGGAAGAGAGGAGAUUAUAAGGUGCUUGCUCUUCUUGAGUAUCAUCUUCACUGCCCAUUUCAGGUGCCUGCUCUUCUUGACUUUCAUCUUCACUGCCCAUUUCAGGUGCCUGCUCUUCUUGACUUUCAUCUUCACUGCCUAUUUCAGGUGCCUUCUCUUCGUGACUAUCAUCUUUGGCGCUACCUAUUUUGGGUGCCUGCAAAAGCCAGAUAUUGGAAGCAUCAAAUGGGAAGAUAGUAAUAUUAAGCUUUUUGUGGCAUUACAUAAGAAGUAAAUGUAUGAAAAGAAGUUCCUUAUUGUGAAGAAUAAUAAGCAGAUCCUUUUCACUUAAAAUCUUUAAUCAAUUAUAAUUAAAAAAUAGAAGUACCUUUGCUUCCGCAUGCACACUUUUAUUAUCUUCAUCCCAUGAAAAUCUUGUACUUAUCUUUGGACAUCUUUGGACU